CCAGUCUUGAAGAGUAAGUAGGUAUUUAAAUAUCCCGGUGAAAACGUCCCAGACGGGAGGAACAGCCCAUGCAAAGGUGCUACAAAGGCAUGCAUCCUGCUGUGGGGGUGGGGAACACCCAGCCUGUGACAUCAGGCAUUCUGGCUCUGCCAUGACAACUGCAGGUGCUACUCAAAAUUCAACAAAUCUACAGUAGGCUAAUUUUUAAGUUGAUAAUUUUGAAUUGGCCUAUAAAUGUUAUUAUAUCCAAAUAGCCCCUGGCAGAAAAAGUUUCCUCAGUCUUGGGAGGAACAGCAAGGAAGUCACAGUGAGGGAGAGGAGGAGGUGAUAUAAAGGUGACGGAGGCCAGGUCAGAUCAACAAGUCAUUCGAUACGGCUGUAGCACAAGGAGCAUGGUGGAGAAUUCCAGAUGCUGAUAUCCAAGAUGCAGGCAAGGACCAUGGCAUGAAGAGACUGGGGUAGAAUUCCUCACAGGAGAAAAUUGGUCUUCCUGCACCCGUGGCUAAUUUGGCCAAUCAAAUAUAAUGCUUCUAAGUACCCUGAUGGAGCCCUGAGGUGUGUGUGCUGGGACAGUGAUGGCCACUGCAGAUUUUUGAACCCUCCAUCUUCUCCUCUCACCAGCUAUUCUGGGUUACAGGGCAGAGGGAGAGAGAGAUCUUGAAUCUGCUGGUUCACUCCCUAAUAACAGCCUGCUGUGGCAGGGCCUGGCUGAAGGCAGGAACUUGGAACUCAAUCUGGUGUUCAACAUAGGAGGAAAGGACCAAACUCUUGCAGCUGUCAAGUGCUGCCUCCCAAGACAAGGAUAUCCUGUACAAGGUUGAAAAGAAGUGAUUAUAGCCAACAUCUAUUUUAUUCCAAGUAUCCUGAAAAAGAGCAUCAACAUUUUACCCUGAGUGAUGGUGGCCGUGGAGUUUGGAUAUACCUUUUAUUGGACUAAAUUAGUUUACUUCUACUUUAUAUAUGGGUUUAUAUAUGGCUAAAAUUAUUGAUCAAAUGGUGAAAACUUGAUGAGUCAACAAUAGGCCAGGUAAGUAAGGUCUCUUGGUUAACAACAAAAGUGCAGUGGGAAAAAUGGUCUUCUAAACAGAUUGUGUUCUAUCAAUUAUGCAUAUAUGAAUGAAGCAAUUGCUAUCUUAGAUUGCACAUAUAGAAAUGGUUCAGAGAAUUACAUAUAUCGAAGUUUAGAAUAUUAGACAAUAAAGCUUCCAAAAAUGAUUGAGAAUACUAUCUUUAUGAUCUGAGUAUAGACCAAGAUUUCCUAAACAGGACACUGAGCCCUAAUUAUAAAAAAAAAUAGUUUCUCAGAGGCGAUAGAAGAGGCACAGCAAAUUAAGCUGGUUUUGGGAUGUCUCUUUCCCAUAUUGGAGUACUGGUUUGAGUCCUGGCUGCUUCACUUCCAACCCAGUUCCCUGCUAAUGCUACUGGGAAGCAGCAAAUGAUGGCUGAAAUACUUGAGUCCCUAUCACCCGUUUGGGAGACCUAGAUGGAGCUCCUGACUCCUUGAUUCAGCCUGGCCCAGCCUAGGUGCUGUGGCCACUGGGGAGUAAACCAGUGGAUGGAAUAUCUCUGUCUUUUCCUGUCACUCUACCUUUCAAAUAUAUAAUGAGUAAUUUUUUAAAAAUAAAGAAUAGCUUUUCCAUUUUCAUACUACACUAGACAGAACAAAGGCAAAAUACUGACUGAAAUAAGGUAUUCCAACACAUAUAUUUGAUCAAGUACUAGUAUCUAGAUAUAUUUUAAAAAAUAUCAAAAGUCUGUAAAAACUAAACAACAACAACAACAAAAACAAAAGCUAGACAACCCAUGUUAAAAAUUAGUGAAACGCCUUGAGUGAGUCCUUCACCAAGAACAUGUCAGAAUGGUUAACAAGUAUGUCAUUUUGCCAUCACAGAAUAAAAAAAAGAAAAAGAAAUUGUGAAUGUCAAGUGUUGGUGACUAUAGGGGCAACUAGGUUCUCAGGCAAUGUUUAUGCCCUGAUCAUAGCCCUCAGGCCUUGCUGUUUGAGUGUAUGCUGGCCCAAUUGCCAGCCAUUGACCACUGCAUCUGUGUGCUUAAAGACUUACUCUGGCUUCAAGAACAGUUUUGUCUGUAAGAAGUUCAGGCCAGAGGUGUCAGAGAGUAAACUCCCCCCAGUAGCCAGCCUAACCAGAGUUGGCUGGAGUGGGGUGUAAAUACUGACCUACCUUGCUCCCUAAGUGUACCAUUGCCAGAGGUCUUUAGUCAGAGUUCUGCAGUAGUACUUGCUGGAUAAUGUGCCUCUUAUUGCCUCCCAUCCUUUCCUCAUUUCACUUCCUUACUCCCUAAUAACAAUUUGGGGCUAUCUCUCAAAUAGACAAUGUAUACUUUAAUUAUGUAUCGUGGCAUAUAUUAUAUGCCAAUAAAACUGCUUACUUAAAGAGGCAUUGGAGAUAGCUCUCAUUGUUAAAAAAAUUUUAAAGAUGCUUAUCUAGGGGCUGGUGCUGUGGCAUAGCAGGUAAAGUUGCCACCUGUGCCGCUGGCAUCCCAUAUGGUUCCCACUUCGAGUCCCGGCUGCUCAAUUUCCAAUCCAGCUUCCUGCCAAUAUGGCUGGGGAAGCAGUGGAAAACGGCUCAAGUGUUGGGGCCCCUGCACCCAUGUGUGAGACCUGGAAGAAACUCCUGGUUCCUGGCUUCAGAUAGGCUCAGCUGUGGCCAUUACAGCCAUCUGGGGAGUGAACCAGUGGAUGGGAGAUGUCUCUCUUUCUCUUUCUCACUCUCUUGCUCUGCCUUUCAAAUAAAUAAAAAUAAAUAGGUAUGCAUUUUAAAAAGAUUUUUAUUUAUUUAUUUGAAAGGCAGAAUUAGAGAGAGAGAGAGAGAGAGAGAGAGAGA